GAUGAACGCUGGCGGCGUGCCUAAUACAUGCAAGUCGAGCGAACAGACGAGGAGCUUGCUCCUUUGACGUUAGCGGCGGACGGGUGAGUAACACGUGGAUAACCUACCUAUAAGACUGGGAUAACUUCGGGAAACCGGAGCUAAUACCGGAUAACAUGUUGAACCGCAUGGUUCAACAGUGAAAGACGGUCUUGCUGUCACUUAUAGAUGGAUCCGCGCCGCAUUAGCUAGUUGGUAAGGUAACGGCUUACCAAGGCAACGAUGCGUAGCCGACCUGAGAGGGUGAUCGGCCACACUGGAACUGAGACACGGUCCAGACUCCUACGGGAGGCAGCAGUAGGGAAUCUUCCGCAAUGGGCGAAAGCCUGACGGAGCGACGCCGCGUGAGUGAAGAAGGUCUUCGGAUCGUAAAACUCUGUUAUUAGGGAAGAACAAAUGUGUAAGUAACUAUGCACGUCUUGACGGUACCUAAUCAGAAAGCCACGGCUAACUACGUG
rnacentral:rRNA from 1 species